CUAGACGUUGAUAGGAUAGGGCACCCUAAAAUACUGGGGAGAGGAGUUUGGGGUCGAGGCGUCGGAAAGGCGGGAGGUGCCCCGCCGCUUUAGAAGCCCGGCGCAGUGCACGACGGGACGCCCCCGGGAAGGGGCGGAGCCGUGUCCGGGCUGCGGUUGGGAAAGCGCCGUCACUCCGAGGGGCGUGUUGAAGAGGGUUUCGCGGGCUUGAGCGGGGGAGGGGGGACCGUUAAAACCCUGCACCGCGCCCACAGGAAGCUGCUUUAUUGGCUAGGCCUACUUGGUACCAGGCUCUCGGCUGGGAAGGACCUUGAAGACCAUGCGGUUCAACUUCCAAUUUGCAGAUGUGGAAACUGAAGCCGAGAGAGGGCACGUGGUAUCUUAGCUCUCCGACCAAGGAUCAAACCCGCACCCCCUGCACUGGAAGGCGAAGUCUUAACCACUGGACCACCAGGGAAGUCCCCCCGCCAGGAAACGUCUGGAGGAUGUGGUACACCAAAAUGAGAAUAAACUAAGAAACAGGAAGACGUGAUCCUGGAAACAGGAUAUUCAACAGAGACGACCUGAGUUCCAGAGAGUGCCUUGCCGAAGGUCGCACAAGUCAGCGUUGGAGCCUCUAGCAGAACUCAGGUCUCCUGACACCCAGUGAUGCAUUAAAAUACUUUUGUAAAAACUGGUUAAAAAAAAUUACCAUCAACCAUUUUUAAGUGUAUAGUUCAGUAGUGUUAAGUAUAGUCACAUGGUUGUGUAACAAAUCUCUAGAACUUACUCAUCUUGCAAAACUGAAACUUUAUAUCCAUUGAACAACAACUCUCUACUUUCCCCUCACCCAUGCCCCUGGCAACCACCAUUCUACUUUCUGUCUCUAUGAAUUUGAGUACUGUAGAUACCUUCUGUAAGUGGAGUCACACAGUAUGUGUCUCUUUGUGAUUGUCAUUUCACUUAGCAUAUGUCCUCGAGGUUGAUACAUUUCCUCCCUUAAGGCUGAACAGUAUUACAUUGUUGGUAGCACAUUUUGUUUAUCCAUUCUUCCAUCAGCGGACACUUGGGUUGCUUCCACCUUUUAGCUAUUACGAAUAAUGCUGCUCUGAGCAUGGCUAUACACGCAUCUCCUUGAGAUCUUGCUUUCAGUUCUUUUGGAUAUAUACUUGGAAGUGGGAUUCCAGUAAUGCAUUUUUUAAAUUCUCCAUCUCAUUCCAAAAAUGAUUUGAGGCCACUGUCCCAGCACCUUCAUAAGUAUUAAAAAAAAAAAAGUUCUGAAUUUCUAAUGAACGAACAAAGGGGCCAGAAUGGAACAGAGGA